UACGUAGGGUGCGAGCGGUAAUCGGAAUUACUGGGCGUAAAGCGUGCGCAGGCGGUUAUGCAAGACAGAUGUGAAAUCCCCGGGCUCAACCUGGGAACUGCAUUUGUGACUGCAUAGCUGGAGUGCGGCAGAGGGGGAUGGAAAUCCGCGUGUAGCAGUGAAAUGCGUAGAUAUGCGGAGGAACACCGAUGGCGAAGGCAAUCCCCUGGGCCUGCACUGACGCUCAUGCACGAAAGCGUGGGGAGCAAACAGG
rnacentral:rRNA from 1 species